rnacentral:rRNA from 1 species
GACGAACGCUGGCGGCGUGCUUAACACAUGCAAGUCGAACGGAAAGGCCCUGCUUUUGUGGGGUGCUCGAGUGGCGAACGGGUGAGUAACACGUGAGUAACCUGCCCUUGACUUUGGGAUAACUUCAGGAAACUGGGGCUAAUACCGGAUAGGAGCUCCUGCUGCAUGGUGGGGGGUGGAAAGUUUCGGCGGGUGGGGAUGGACUCGCGGCUUAUCAGCUUGUUGGUGGGGUAGUGGCUUACCAAGGCUUUGACGGGUAGCCGGCCGGAGAGGGUGACCGGCCACAUUGGGACUGAGCUCCGGCCCAGACUCCUACGGGAGGCAGCAGUGGGGAAUAUUGCACAAUGGGCGGAAGCCUGAUGCAGCAACGCCGCGUGCGGGAUGACGGCCUUCGGGUUGUAACCCGCUUUCGCCUGUGACGAAGCGUGAGUGACGGUAAUGGGUAAAGAAGCACCGGCUAACUACGUG